UGGGGAAUAUUGCACAAUGGACGGAAGUUUGAUGCAGCGACGCCGCGUGGAGGGUGUAGGCCUUCGGGUUGUGAACUCCUUUUUCUCGCGAAAAAGGCACAGUUUUGGCUGUGUUGAUGGUAGUGGGGGAAGAAGCAAGCCCUGGCUAAAUACGUGCCAGCAGCCGCGGUAAUACGUAUGGGGCAAGCGUUGUCCGGAAUUAUUGGGCGUAAAGGGUACGUAGGCGGUUUAAUAAGUCCUAAUUAAAAGGCUAUGGCUCAACCAUAGUAUGGUUAGGAAACUGUUGAACUUGAGUAGAUGAGGGGAAAGUGGAAUUCCAUGUGUAGCGGUGAAAUGCGUAGAUAUAUGGAGGAACACCAAUGGCGAAGGCAACUUUCUGGAAUCAAACUGACGCUGAGGUACGAAGGCGUGGGGAGCAAACAGG
rnacentral:rRNA from 1 species